AAAAUGGCCCUUUUCAGGGUCAUGCAAAUUUAAUAAAAGAAAUAU
rfam:Stegodyphus mimosarum contig117511, whole genome shotgun sequence.